CCACGUGUGGGAAGAAGCAUUUCGGUGUGUAAACCACUGUCGUGAGGGAAUAAGGCAGUGUUUCGGCGAGGUUGAAUGUACCUCGAGAGGAAGCACCGGCAAACUUCGUGCCAGCAGCCGCGGUAAUACGAGGGGUGCAAGCGUUGUUCGGAAUCACUGGGCGUAAAGGGAGCGCAGGCGGAAGCUCAAGCGGAUUGUACAAUACCGGGGCCCAACCCCGGACCUGCAGUCCGAACUGCCUCUCUUGGAUAGUUCAGGGGCAAGCGGAAUUCC
rnacentral:rRNA from 1 species